GGAGUUAGCCGGUGCUUCUUCUGCGAGUAACGUCACAGCUAGCAGGUAUUAACUACUAACCUUUCCCUCCUCGCUGAAAGUGCUUUACAACCCGAAGGCCUUCUUCACACACGCGGCAUGGCUGCAUCAGGGUUUCCCCCAUUGUGCAAUAUUCCCCACUGCUGCCUCCCGUAGGAGUCUGGGCCGUGUCUCAGUCCCAGUGUGGCUGAUCAUCCUCUCAGACCAGCUAGGGAUCGUUGCCUAGGUGAGCCAUUACCUCACCUACUAGCUAAUCCCACCUGGGCUUAUCCAUCAGCGCAAGGACCGAAGUUCCCCUGCUUUCCCCCGUACGGGCGUAUGCGGUAUUAGCAGUCGUUUCCAACUGUUAUCCCCCACCAAAUAGGGCGAAAUUACCCACGGCAUUAACUUCACCCGUCCGCCGCUCGUCAUCUUCAAAAGACAAGACUUUUGUAAAUAGUUACCGUCUCGACUUGCAUGUGUUAGGUCCGUGCCGCCACGCGUCUAAUACUGAGCCACGAAUACGAACCCUACGACUACGAGACGGGCGUCGGCGAACGGACGGCGACAGA
rnacentral:rRNA from 1 species